rnacentral:rRNA from 1 species
GACGUAGGGCGCGAGCGUUGUCCGGAUUUAUUGGGCGUAAAGAGCUCGUAGGCGGCUCGUUGCGUCGGCUGUGAAAACCCGCAGCUCAACUGUGGGCUUGCAGCUGAUACGGGCGGGCUGGGAUUCGGUAGGGGAGACUGGAAUUCCUGGUGUAGCGGUGAAAUGCGCAGAUAUCAGGAGGAACACCGGUGGCGAAGGCGGUUCUCUGGGCAUUACCUGACGCUGAGGAGCGAAAGUGUGGGGAGCGAACAGG